GACGAACGCUGGCGGCGUGCUUAACACAUGCAAGUCGAACGAAGUGGCGAACGGGUGCGUAACGCGUAAUCAACCUGCCCUUCAGCGGGGGACUACAGUUGGAAACGACUGCUAAUACCGCAUACAGAUGGAGGUGAUGCCGUCUGAUUAGCUAGUUGGAGGGGUAACGUCCCACCAAGGCGAGGAUCAGUAGCCGGUCUGAGAGGAUGAACGGCCACAUUGGGACUGAGACACGGCCCAGACUCCUACGGGAGGCAGCAGUGGGGAAUCUUCCGCAAUGGACGAAAGUCUGACGGAGCAACGCCGCGUGAGUGAUGACGGCCUUCGGGUUGUAAAGCUCUGUUAAUCGGGACGCGGUACCGGAAUAGAAAGCCACGGCUAACUACGUGCCAGCAGCCGCGGUAAUUC
rnacentral:rRNA from 1 species